UACAGAGGUCUCAAGCGUUGUUCGGAUUCAUUGGGCGUAAAGGGCUCGUAGGCGGCCAACUAAGUCAAACGUGAAAUCCCUCGGCUUAACCGGGGAACUGCGCUUGAUACUGGAUGGCUUGAGAUUGGGAGAGGGAUGCGGAAUUCCAGGUGUAGCGGUGAAAUGCGUAGAUAUUAGGAAGAACACCGGUGGCGAAGGCGGCCCACUGGAUCGGUACUGACGCUGAGGUGCGAAAGCGUGGGGAGCAAACAGG
rnacentral:rRNA from 1 species